rnacentral:rRNA from 1 species
UACGUAGGGGGCAAGCGUUGUCCGGAUUUACUGGGCGUAAAGAGCGUGUAGGCGGCCAGGUAGGUCCGCUGUGAAAACCCGAGGCUCAACCUCGGGACGUCGGCGGAAACCAUCUGGCUAGAGUCCGGAAGAGGAGAGUGGAAUUCCCGGUGUAGCGGUGAAAUGCGCAGAUAUCGGGAAGAACACCCGUGGCGAAGGCGGCUCUCUGGGACGGUACUGACGCUGAGACGCGAAAGCGUGGGGAGCGAACAGG